GACGAACUGUCCUAACGUUGUUCGGAAUCACUGGGCUUAAAGGGCGCGUAGGCGGUCGAUCAAGUCAGGGGUGAAAUCCUGCAGCUUAACUGUAGAAGUGCCUCUGAUACUGAUCGUCUGGAGGGAGAUAGGGGUGUGCGGAACUUCCAGUGGAGCGGUGAAAUGCGUAGAUAUCGAGAGGAACACCUGCGGCGAAGGCGGGUAGCUGGGCCGACACUGACGCUGAGGCGCGAAAGCCAGGGGAGCGAACGGG
rnacentral:rRNA from 1 species